UACUGAGUGGCAAACGGGUGAGUAUAAUGUGGGAAUCUGCCUUUUGGUUUGGAAUAACACGGGGAAACUUGUGCUAAUACCGAAUAAGCCUUUACAGGGAAAGUUUUAACGCCGAAAGAUGAGCCCGCACUUGAUUAGCUAGUUGGUAAGGUAAAAGCUUACCAAGGCAACGAUCAAUAGCUGUUCUUAGAGGAAGACCAGCCACAUUGGGACUGAGACACGGCCCAGACUCCUACGGGAGGCAGCAGUGGGGAAUCUUGCACAAUGGGGGAAACCCUGAUGCAGCGAUGCCGCGUGAGUGAAGAAGGCCCUUGGGUUGUAAAACUCUUUCGUCGGGGAAGAAAAUGACUGUACCCGAAUAAGAAG
rnacentral:rRNA from 1 species